rnacentral:rRNA from 1 species
GGUCAAGCUACAAAGGGCACGAGGUGGAUGCCUUGGCGCCAAGAGCCGAUGAAGGACGUGGCAGGCUGCGAAAAGCUCCGGGGAGUCGCGAGCAGACAUCGAUCCGGAGAUGUCCGAAUGGGGAAACCCGACUGGGGUCAUGCCCGGUCCCCCCUGGCUGAACCAAAUAGGCCAGGUGGAGGUAAGCCAGCGAACUGAAACAUCUCAGUAGCUGGAGGAAAAGAGAACAUUCCCUGAGUAGUGGCGAGCGAAACGGGAAGAGCCCAAACUCACUCAGCGCGAUAGGUUGCAGCCGUUUCUGAGUGGGAGUUGUAGGAGUCGAUCUUCGGGAUCCUGCUAGAUCCCGGCGGAGUUAACAAGCCGAUCGCUAGUCGAACCUGUCAGGAAAGGCAGGCCGUAGAGGGUGACAGCCCCGUAGACGAAAGCGAGCGGCCUUCGUGAUCGACCACCUGAGUACCACGUGGAAGGUCUCUCAUGUGGGAAACUGGGCGGACCACCGUCCAAGGCUAAAUACUCUUGGCGACCGAUAGUGAACGAGUACCGUGAGGGAAAGGUGAAAAGCACCCCGGAAGGGGAGUGAAAUAGUACCUGAAACCGCGUGCCUACAAGCAGUCAGAGGGUGUUGUCGACCGGCGCUUGCGUCGAUCGGUAGCCUGAUGGCGUGCCUUUUGAAGAAUGAGCCGACGAGUUACUUGCAUGUGGCGAGGUUAAGUCCGAAAAGGACGGAGCCGGAGCGAAAGCGAGUCUGAAUAGGGCGAUUAGUCGCAUGCAGUAGACCCGAAACCGAGUGACCUAUCCAUGGCCAGGUUGAAGCGGGAGUAAUGUCCCGUGGAGGACCGAACUCACUAGCGUUGAAAAGCUAGGGGAUGAGCUGUGGAUAGAGGUGAAAUGCCAAUCGAACUCGGAGAUAGCUGGUUCUCCCCGAAAUAGCUUUAGGGCUAGCCUCGGGCGUUCAAUCACGGGGGUAGAGCACUGGAUGGGCUAGGGGGCUUCCCGCUUACCAAACCCAACCAAACUCCGAAUCCCGUGAUUUCAGAGCCCGGGAGUCAGACUGCGAGGGCUAAGCUUCGUGGUCUAGAGGAAAACAGUCCGGACCGUCAGCUAAGGUCCCUAAAUCCAAGCUAAGUGGUAAAGGAUGUGGAUUCGCAUAGACAACCAGGAUGUUGGCUCAGAAGCAGCCAUCAUUGAAAGAGUGCGUAACAGCUCACUGGUCAAGUGGAUCUGCGCCGAAAAUUCAGCGGGGCUCAAGCUUGGUACCGAAGCUACGGACUCCAUGACCGGUUCGCCGGUCGUGGUUUGGUAGGGGAGCGUUCCGUCAGCAGUGAAGGUCGACCGUGAGGACGGCUGGAGUGGGCGGAAGUGCGAAUGUCGGCAUGAGUAGCGCAAUGUGAGUGAGAAUCUCACACGCCGUAAGCCUAAGGUUUCCUGAGGAAGGCUUGUCCGCUCAGGGUUAGUCGGGCCUAAGCCGAGGACGAACGUCGUAGGCGAUGGACAUCGGGUUGAUAUUCCCGAACCACUAACGAUCGUUUGCACCGCAAGGUGUCGCCUGGGGGUAGGAGAACGGAGGUUGGCCGGCGAAAGUCGGUCGAGUCCAGGAUCCGAGCCCAGGUGAGAGCAAUGGCAUGACACGGCACGGUAGUUCGAGCGCCCCGUUGGUUGUGGGCGUCUAAGCAGGUAGGGGGACUGGACAGGUAAAUCCGUCCGGUCAUUUCAAACCCCGAGACGCGAAUGCGAGAGGCUUUGCCUUGAAGUCGAGUGAGCCGAGCUGGCAAGAAAAGUGUCUAGCGAGAUCAAUAGUGUCCGUACCGCAAUCCGACACAGGUAGGCGGGUAGAGCAUACCAAGGCGAUCGGGAGAACCCUCGUUAAGGAACUCGGCAACAUGGCCCCGUAACUUCGGGAGAAGGGGCGCUUCGCGGCUCGCUGCUUGCAGUUGGGUCGAUCGAAGCCGCAGUGAAAAGGCCCAGGCGACUGUUUAGCAAAAACACAGGUCUCUGCGAAAGCGAAAGCUGACGUAUAGGGGCUGACGCCUGCCCAGUGCCGGAAGGUUAAGAGGAGAGGUGCAAGCUUUGAAUCGAAGCCCCGGUAAACGGCGGCCGUAACUAUAACGGUCCUAAGGUAGCGAAAUUCCUUGUCGGGUAAGUUCCGACCCGCACGAAUGGCGUAACGAUCUGGGCGCUGUCUCAACGAGGGAUCCGGCGAAAUUGAAGUACCUGUGAAGAUGCAGGUUACCCGCGGCAGGGCAAAAAGACCCCGUGGAGCUUUACUGCACCCUGAUAUUGGAUUGGGAUUCAGCUUGUGUAGGAUAGGUGGGAGGCUGGGAAGCUGGGGCGCUAGCCGCGGCGGAGCCAACGUUGAAAUACCACCCUGGUUGAAUUCCGGUUCUAACCGCGACCCGUAAUCCGGGCGCAGAACAGUGU